rnacentral:rRNA from 1 species
GCCUCUAUUGAAAAAUUGGAGGUAGGUCCUGCCCAAUGCUAGGGGUAAAUGGCCGCAGUACUUUGACUGUGCAAAGGUAGCAUAAUAACUUGGCUCUUAAUUGGAGUCUGGAAUGAAUGGAUUGACAAGGUUUGAACUUUCUUAAAAAGAUGAAACUAGAAAUUGAAUUAACAGUAAAAAUGCUGUUAUGGGGGAGAGGGACGAUAAGACCCUGUAGAUCUUUAAUUUUUUAGUUCUUCAAUUGUGAAGAGUUAAAAGGUUUUAUUUGGGAUGAAUCUUGAAAAUUAAACUUUGGUUAAUAUAAAAAUUUAAUAAUUAAGUUUUGACCCACUAGGAGUGAAAGUGGAAAAAUGAAAUAGUUACCUCAGGGAUAACAGGACAAUAACUUUCUUGAAGACCUCAUUUGGGAUGGUGAUUGUUACCUCGAUGUUGAAUUAAGUUAACUGAAUAAAGGAGAGGAAUUUUAAGUGGGUCUGUUCGACCAUUAAAAAC